AUGUGUGGAAAAGGGAAAAGACCCUGCCCUGAAGUAGGAACUGAAAGAGUUACAGGAACUGCGGUCAGAGGAAUUUAAUAAUCCCCAAAUUGGUCCAGUCGGAACACGAGAAAAAAAGGCUUGUAGGAA